rnacentral:tRNA from 1 species
GUGUGGUUCACUAUUAGAGCAUCUGCUUGGCAUGCAGAAGGUCCCAGGUUCAAUCCUUGGCAUGUCCA